GGGAGAGUGUUUUAAGGUGAAACUCCCAAACUCCUUUGGGAAUAGUGGGGAAUGGGAUGUGGGAGAGGAUUGGACUAUGCAGGAGGUCUCUGCUGGCUAAUGUGCUGGUUUGAGCAUCUGCUCCCUAUGCUCAUUUUGUGCUGCAGUGAUUUUGACUUGGGUAGAAAGGAGUUAAAGCCAGAUUCAGGCUGAAUUUAGUCUUUGCAGAACUUGUGUGACUGUUCAUUUCGAUACUGGCCCAAGGCUAACCUUGAUCCGCUUGCACAUCCCAUGGGAAAGGUGUCAGCCUCUUGGCCAAGUCCCUUUGUGAGCCAGUGUGCUAUCAAAUGGACUGUGACUAUCAAAACCUCAUUAGCAGCAUCACUUGGAGUUAUCUGUACACAAAUACUGGUGAAUUAGGAGGUAAAUGUAUUCUUCAGCAACUGCAUAAUUUUACAGAUUCAUUUCCAAGCAGUAGCAUACUUUAAAAAUUAAUCUCUUUUAAAUGAAAUGUUCAUUUAAAAAUGAUGUUUAAUGAGAUCUAAUGCAUCCUGAGAUGCUGGCAGGAGAAGGUUUGUUCUGCAGCUGAUCCUAACAAAGGAGGGUGGGGAGGUAAUUAACUAAGACGAUCAAACUUUCAUUAGUACUAAUAAAGCCUGCAAGUUAAAAUGUUUUGAUGCAAACAACUGCUAUUUAUGUUUCAAAACACCAUUCUUUUCUCUCAGCACAUCUCUUAAAGAUACUUUCUUGUGUGGGUUUCUAGUAGACGCUACAUGUAAUAGAUUUCUUGGAAAUAGAGUUUAACCAUUAAACAUGAGGACAUAUGUCAUUAUUUUCUUCGGUUAAGUGCCUGAAGGUGAAGCUGAGUGAAUUCAUUGCAUUAAGAAAGUUGUUCUGUGGUGUUUCUCAACUGAUGGAAAAGAAGGGACAGGAGUAGCUUCUGGCACUGCAAGACUCUGCGCAUCUGUCUCCAUCUUUCAUCCAGUAGAGGUUCUAACCAACAGAGGUUACCUUUCUUGUGCUUGUCCUCUGGAUCAUAAGGAGGCCUUUUCCUUCCUUCCAAAGCAAUCUUCCAACAAACCAGUGUCUUUUUAUCCCAGGGUAUCCAUUCUGGCAAAUAACCUCCUCAUCAGUACCAGGUGUUUGGAGCCAGUCUCUGUGCCACUGUUAGGUGCGUGGCUCUCAGAAGAUGCUCCCAAAAACCUCUCUUACCUUUCCUGCCCUUCUGUGCUCCUUCUGGAUGGUCUGCAAAGGCUCAGACAAAUUCCAGGAGCUGGGAAUCCCCAAGGGAGGUUGUAUCUUAGCUCACAGUGCAUUGAUGGAAAAUGUCAAAUGACCAGUAAGCGUUGCUAUGUUUAUACUGCAGCAACAGUAAACUUGCCACAUAGCAUGAAGGCAAAGUUUCUUCCAAAAAGGGCAUAUAAAAUAGGUAUUUUAUU
rnacentral:lncRNA from 1 species